rnacentral:rRNA from 1 species
AGCGUAGACGGUGUGGCAAGUCUGAUGUGAAAGGCAUGGGCUCAACCUGUGGACUGCAUUGGAAACUGUCAUACUUGAGUGCCGGAGGGGUAAGCGGAAUUCCUAGUGUAGCGGUGAAAUGCGUAGAUAUUAGGAGGAACACCAGUGGCGAAGGCGGCUUACUGGACGAUAACUGACGCUGAGGCUGAAAGCGUGGGGAGCAAACA